UACAGAGGGUGCGAGCGUUAAUCGGAAUUACUGGGCGUAAAGCGUGCGUAGACGGCUAUCUAAGUCGGGUGUGAAAGCCCCGGGCUCAACCUGGGAAUUGCAUUCGAGACUGAAUAGCUAGGGUACGGUAGAGGGAAGUGGAAUUUCCGGUGUAGCGGUGAAAUGCGUAGAUAUCGGGAGGAACACCUGUGGCGAAAGCGGCGCACUGGACCAUAACUGACGCUGAUGCGCGAAAGCUAGGGGAGCAAACAGG
rnacentral:rRNA from 1 species